UGGCCGCCCCUGUGCCUCUCCCCUGCUGGUGCCACGGUGGCUUCCGUGGACUGGGCUGAUCCACGUCAUGCCGUGGCCAUGAGAAGUUCCGGGCUCCACGGCUCCUCUUGUGACACUCCUCCCUUUCCCUCCAGUCCUGUGCCCAGAAAUGGCUUCUUGUUGUUGCAAUGAGCUGUCAACUGUGUAUUUUGUAUUUUCAAAACACACUUUAAAAUGUCUAAAAUGGAAGCAAAGAUAUACUUACAAGCACUUAAAUUUAAUUAAGUGUCUUUAAGGGGCACAGUGAGACAAAUACUGUAACAUGACAUUUUGCAAACCUGCACGAGU
rnacentral:lncRNA from 1 species